rnacentral:lncRNA from 1 species
CGAGCAGGGCCAGCCAGAGGGGCAGCUGGGGCCUGGAGUGCAGUGCGGGUCCUUCUCCCACUUGGCAGACAAGGAGACUGAGGCUCAGGGAGUCUCCAUGCUCCUCUGCGGCCACACCGCCAGGACCACGCCAGCUCCUCAGGCUCCCCCCUUGGUGCCUGGCCAGUGCUGGGUGCCUUGUCCCUGUGCUGACCUGUCUCAGCUCUGCAGGGAGAACCACCAGCGCACCUGAGACUUCAUCCGUGGGCUCCCUGGAGGAGGCAUCGGGUCUCUCCGCCAGGACCCCCCGGAAAUGCCCCUCCAGGGAGCUGCACCUGCUGGCCAAGCUCCUGCCCAUUUGCUGGGCCCUCCCCUGGCACCAGGACCAACAGCGUGAGGGAAAACACCGUGACCCCGACAAACCAGGCGAGUCUGCGCAGCCUGCGCAACACCUGAACCCCCGGGCAGGGCGUGUUACAUAAAUGCCGGUGGGGAGCCAGCAGCGGCUGCUGCCCUGGCCUGUGGUCACCUGGGGUGACCGCCUCGGCCUUUGCCAGCACCCAUGGUGCUUUUCAGUGGGCACCACUACGCAGAUCCUACGGACACGGGAAGAAGCAGAAUCCAGGAAAAGCCAGGCACUCUGCAGGAGGCAGCGGGGGACCCACCUGGCCUGCCCUUUCCCCGCCGACCUCGCUGGCCCUCACGUGCCCCCCACAUGCCCCUUGGGGAAAGCUUGGAGCCAGGCUGGGCCUUUCUCAGGAGCCUGAGUCAGAAGUGCCACUGUCCUACCCACACAGCCCAAGGCCCUGGGCAGCAGGCUCAGGAGCCCUCCCUCAGGGGUGUCUGAGCCGGUCAGUUCUGCUUAGAGGCCCUGGCCAGCCUCAGGGUCUGGGAAGCUGGCCCUGCUGACCCUGGUGUGCACCCAGGGCCACUGUCUGCACUAAGAGUCUGGCCACGUUCUCAGCAGCUCAGGGCUGUGGGGAUGCCUCAUGACCACCUGACCACCCUCUGAUUCCUCCUCAUCUGCCAGUAGUAUCAGGUCAGGGAUUGAGAAAUGGCCCCUUUGAAGCUUCUCUCAAAGAGUCGCUGAGAGCAGGUAGGGAAGUCAGACGCAGAGGGUACAGAGACGCUUCAGCAGGGACCCCGUGCAGCCAGCUCUACACCCUGGGUCCCCAGCCAACCCUGGAGGGCUGCAGGGCCCCCUCACCACCUGGCAGGGUGCUGGCCAAGGCGGCAGGAGCCGCCUGGAGGAGGGAGCGGGCGGGCUGUGGGUGCAAUGCAGCAUCUGGCCCCGGGACCUGCUGCACGCUCCCAGCCGCCUGCCAGCACCUGCCGGGCUCCGAAGGGGCUGGACACUGCCGGGGAGCGGAGGGCCGCACCCUGGCCCCGAAGGCCAGGUGUACCCCCAGGGAAUUCUGAAGUCAGCAGGGAAUGGCAAAGGUGGCGGGAGGGGCUGCCACCCCAGGGCAAGCCCCGCCCCUUCCCCACGUGGUUCCAGACCUCAGGUCCAGUGUCCAUAGUGGCCCGAGAGAGCUACGCCCGCAGUGUGGCCUCCGAGGGGACCCCCCUUCCCAGGCAGGUGGGAGCUCCAACACGGGCGGGGCCGGGCUGCCCAGCGGUACUCACCGUGCAGCAGGGCAUGAGGGCGGCGGGCUCCCUCCUCCAGGCUGGUCCUCCAGAGCUCGAUCAGCUCUGCCGGCCCCAGUGGGCUGUGCCCGCCCAGCGGACCCUCAGCCAAUGGCAGGGACCCGGCCGCCCCGCCCCCUGGCGGACGCUUUGUAGUGGGACCCUGCUGGGCUGGUCCUGAUGGGCAGGAACCCCACAGCUACGGGUGGCGGCCAGCCAGGGCUGAGGGGUCUCCCUGCAUGAGACGGUAGCUCUCAGAGGGUCUCAGAGACUUGCAUCCCUACAGGUGCCAGGUCUGGGGCCAGCUUUCCCCUCCAGGCAGACAACUGCAGCAGCCUCCAGGGCACCAGGCAGACUGGUUGCAGGCAGGGCUGCGGGGGGGAGCUGGGUGGGGAGCCGUGCAGUCUGGCGUGUUACCUAACACCAGGAGCAGCUGCUUUCUCUGCAGCGGGUGUAUCUGGGGCCUGCAGGGGGAGGCACACCGUCCACCAUUAAACAUGAGCAGACCCUCCUGCCAGGCUUCCCACGGCCCUUGGUGGCCUUUCUCUUCAGGGACAGGUGGGCAAAGCCUGAGGCACACAUAGGGUCAGCAUGCCUAAUGUCACACAGCAAGGUAGGGGCACAUGGAAUUCUGGCCCUUUCUAGUGUUAUUCCCAAAGCCUGAGCACCCAGCUCCCUCCCAGCACGAUGCCCUGCUCAGCCCAGCCCAGCCCAGCCCCAUAGGGAGAGGGAAGGGCUGCAGAGCUGGGUCAAGAGGCUCUAGGUCCUCCACAUGUAAGUGGCCCCAAAGGCUUCUUAUGGGCAGUUUCCAGGAAAGCAGCUGGACAAUGACUUCAGUGCCUCUCCAGCAUGUGUCAGCAGAGCUGUCCCUGGCCCUCUGGUGUGGGCAUCUCUGCCUCCCAUGUGCUAGUGUGGGGCGGGGCCACGACAAUUCCUGGGCGGCAAACCCCGCAGCACCCAGGAGACUGGCCGUGGGUCAAAACACCCCAGGCUGCAGAGAGCAGCUCAGAGCAACCACCUGGGUGGCUGGCCCUGCCCUGGCCCCUCUGCCCAGCACAUUCUUAUAAACAUGAGGCUGGGGCCACUCCUUUGCCCGAACUUGUCCCAUUGAAAAGGAAACAGAAGACCACGGAGGACUUAGCCUGGGCGUGGACGACCACUGGCACCUCUGGACAGAGCACUGCGGGUGGGGGACUCUGUGCCUCAGUUUAUCCUCCUCAGGGGGCCAGGGGGGUGAUUUCCACAAGGAAGUGGACUGGAGUUCAUGGCAUGCAGUAAGUGCUCAAUCGACGCACAGUGCCAUGCUCUUCUCCUCAUUUGGCCCACUCAGGGACCCCUUCCAGAAGGUGGCCUCUGCCAUCUACAGAGGUGGAGGCAGAGUGUCCAUGAGGCUCCCUGGGUGCCCUGGAUCACUGACAAAGCAUGCUCAGGAUGGCUAGCCUGGUAUCCCACGUGGGCCUUGAGGGGCAGCUCUGCAGAAGGAGGCUGCUCCGCGGUGGGCAAGACAUGAGGAGUGGGUAUAAGAUGUCCUCUGGUCCACCUUGGGGGCUCUUGGCAAUCUAGGCAUCCUAGGGGCCAGGAAUGCCCCGCAGAUCCUGGCCAUCUUCCAUCUCGUCUGACCCAACAGAGGGUGCCAACAGGACAUCAGCCCUGAGCACCAUGGAGAGGGGCGAGAUGGAACCUUCCAGAUGUCCAGAAUGCUACAGAAUGGGGGGCACUUGGCCAUCCACCCACAGACGAGGAAGCAAGGUGGCUGGCUGGGGGGGGCACCCACCAUGUCCUGUGGACAAGCGCAGCUCAGCUGCCCAACAAAGCACCUGUGGGGACUUGCUCCCUAGACCGUGGAGGCAGGCCCUGGGACACUACUCCACAGAGUGGCUUCCCAGGACGCAUUGCUGCCCAGAGUGGAGGUGGGCCCUCUGCUAUCCCCAUAUUGGUCAGGUGGACAGUAGAGGAACAGAGGACUGCCAGUCUAUGCUCAGGGAAGUCUCACGGAGGCUCAUUGUCAUCUCGGUUUCCUUUUGUUAAGAAGGGCAGCCAUUUUACUCUGUCUGGCAGAGAGCAUAAAGCCUACUUUGCAGAACCACAGGGUUUGGCAGGAGCCCCCAAUCUAGCUGGGCAUGACUUGGGAAGUUCUCAUUUGCCAGGGAACUUGUGAGUCUGAGCCAAGAGUGAAGCCCUUCUAUCUUCAGGCACCCCAACCUCCCUGCCUCUCUUAGCCUCUCCUCCUCCUCCUCCCCCGCCCCUCCCCUCAGCCUUCCCCCUCCUUCUCUCCCUGCCUCCCUGCCUUCCUCCCUCCCCACUUCCAUUUCUCACCUCCCUCUUCCUAUUGCCCCCCAGCCCCUCCUUUUUAUCCUUGAUCCUCUCCCACCAUGUCUGUCUGAUAUUGAUGGUGCCAGGUUGGAAACAUGGCUCCUGCAAACCGUGAGCAUACCUGCUGAGGAGGCUGAUGUCAGCAUGUGAUUCAGAGAUGGCUGUAGCUGAACCGGAGAACCUGGAGCCUGUCCAGUGGAGGAGGCUCUUGCUCAUAUGUGGCUGAGCGGACACUGAGGUUAAGGGAGGUCACUGGGUUUAGAGAAGGCUGUGAAGUGAGGGGAGGAGCUGGAGGACGUAUGGCCCCUUCCUCCUACAUUCCUUCUUCCUGGGCAGACAGUAUGUGGAUGACGGUGAUGACGGUGAUGAUGGAGACGGUGAUGGUGGUGGCGAUGAUAUGGGUGAUGGUGAUGGUGAUGAUCGUGACAAUUGUUAUGGUAAUGGUGGUGAUGGUGGUGGUAAUCAUGGUAAUGGUGGGGCUGGGGUUGUGGCUCAUUGGUGGCACAUGUGCCUGGCAUGUAUGAGGCACUUGGUUUGAUUCUCAGCACUGCAUAUAAAUAAAUAAAAUAAAGUUCUAUCAACAAAUAAAAAAU